rnacentral:rRNA from 1 species
AGACCCGAAACCCGGUGAUCUAGCCAUGGGCAGGUUGAAGGUUGGGUAACACUAACUGGAGGACCGAACCGACUAAUGUUGAAAAAUUAGCGGAUGACCUGUGGCUGGGGGUGAAAGGCCAAUCAAACCGGGAGAUAGCUGGUUCUCCCCGAAAGCUAUUUAGGUAGCGCCUCGUGAAUUCAUCUCCGGGGGUAGAGCACUGUUUCGGCUAGGGGGCCAUCCCGGCUUACCAACCCGAUGCAAACUGCGAAUACCGGAGAAUGUUAUCACGGGAGACACACGGCGGGUGCUAACGUCCGUCGUGAAGAGGGAAACAACCCAGACCGCCAGCUAAGGUCCCAAAGUCAUGGUUAAGUGGGAAACGAUGUGGGAAGGCCCAGACAGCCAGGAUGUUGGCUUAGAAGCAGCCAUCAUUUAAAGAAAGCGUAAUAGCUCACUGGUCGAGUCGGCCUGCGCGGAAGAUGUAACGGGGCUAAACCAUGCACCGAAGCUGCGGCAGCGACGCUGAUGCGUUGUUGGGUAGGGGAGCGUUCUGUAAGCCUGCGAAGGUGGCCUGUGAGGGUUGCUGGAGGUAUCAGAAGUGCGAAUGCUGACAUAAGUAACGAUAAAGCGGGUGAAAAGCCCGCUCGCCGGAAGACCAAGGGUUCCUGUCCAACGUUAAUCGGGGCAGGGUGAGUCGACCCCUAAGGCGAGGCCGAAAGGCGUAGUCGAUGGGAAACGGGUUAAUAUUCCCGUACUUGGUGUUACUGCGAAGGGGGGACGGAGAAGGCUAUGUUGGCCGGGCGACGGUUGUCCCGGUUUAAGCGUGUAGGUGUGUGUUCCAGGUAAAUCCGGUUCACUUUAACACUGAGGCGUGACGACGAGGCACUACGGUGCUGAAGCAACAAAUGCCCUGCUUCCAGGAAAAGCCUCUAAGCAUCAGGUAACAUCAAAUCGUACCCCAAACCGACACAGGUGGUCAGGUAGAGAAUACCAAGGCGCUUGAGAGAACUCGGGUGAAGGAACUAGGCAAAAUGGUGCCGUA